rnacentral:rRNA from 1 species
AUACGGAGGGAGCAAGCGUUAUUCGGAAUCACUGGGCGUAAAGGACGCGUAGGCGGGUUUGUAAGUCAGGUGUGAAAUCCUACAGCUCAACUGUAGAACUGCACUUGAAACUACAGACCUAGAGUAUGGAAGGGGCAGAUGGAAUUAGUGGUGUAGGGGUAAAAUCCGUAGAUAUCACUAGGAAUACCGAAAGCGAAGGCGAUCUGCUGGGACAUUACUGACGCUGAGGCGUGAAAGCGUGGGGAGCAAACAGGAUUAGAAACCCCAGUAGUCC